rnacentral:misc_RNA from 1 species
AACUGAUACUACCUGCGGGAACCUGCGGAAGGAUCAUUACCGAGUGCGGGCCCUCGCGGCCCAACCUCCCACCCUUGUCUAUACACCUGUUGCUUUGGCGGGCCCACCGGGGCCACCCGGUCGCCGGGGGACAUCGUCCCCGGGCCCGCGCCCGCCGAAGCGCCCUGUGAACCCUGAUGAAGAUGGGCUGUCUGAGUACUAUGAAAAUUGUCAAAACUUUUAACAACGGAUCUCUAGAUC